rnacentral:rRNA from 1 species
UACGGAAGGUGCAAGCAUUAAUCGGAAUUAUUGGGCGUAAAGGGCGCGUAGGCGGAUUUGUAAGUCAGAUGUGAAAUACCGAAGCUUAACUUCGGUGCUGCAUUUGAAACUACAAAUCUAGAGGGUUGACGGAGAAAACGGAAUUCCACGUGUAGCGGUGAAAUGCGUGGAUAUGUGGAAGAACACCGGUGGCGAAGGCGGUUUUCUAGUUAAUACCUGACGCUGAGGCGCGAGAGCAAGGGGAGCAAACAGG